rnacentral:lncRNA from 1 species
NNAUGUGCAGCAAUGCAGGAUGGUGAGCAGCUCAACGUGCAGCAAUGCAGGAUGGUGAGCAGCUCAACGUGCAGCAAUGCAGGAUGGUGAGCAGCUCAACGUGCAGCAAUGCAGGAUGGUGAGCAGCUCGACAUGCAGCAUAACUCACCUGCAUUAUCCCGUCCCUGCUGCAUCCCCAGUGAUGGCGAGAUGCAGCGCAUCAUCAUGUAUUCUGCAUCCUCUGCUGCAUUGGGGGUAGAUGUGAGUUGCAGCCCCACUCUGUGCCCCCCUCCAUCUCCCCAUCGCAUUCACCUGCCGGGCCCUGCAGCCGUCGCAGCAGUUCUGCAAUUUGCUGCUUCUUGGCCCGGGCUGCAGCGCUGAGGUUCUCCUGGUCGAGGAGCAGCAGGAAGGGAUGCAGGGCGGCCAGCAGAGCCUCCAGAUCUGCAGGGGAGCAGCGCUGCAGCAACAACCCCGGGGACAACUUGGGUUGCAGGUUUGGUGCAUGCACAGCUCAGCGUGCUGCUCCUGCAGGAGGGGAGCUGCUGCUGCUGCUGCUGCUGCUGCUGCUGCUGCUGGGGGCUGCUCAGUGCAUGCAAUAAAUGCAGAGCAGCCACUGGGAGCAGGGAGGGGGGUCUGGGGGUCCUGCAGUAGCAGCAGGGCCAGGCAAUGCCAUGGUGUCAGCACCCAUGCAGCCAUUGCAUCCCCCAUUGCAUCCUCAUGGUGUCAGCACCCAUGCAGCCAUUGCAUCCCCGUUGCAUGCCCCAUUGCACCCCCAUGGCUCCAGCAUCCCUGCACCAAUGCAUCUCUACUGCACCCCAUAGAGACAGCAUCCCUGCACCCAUUGCAUCCCUAUUGCAUCCCCCAUUGCAUCCCCAUGGUAACAGCGUGUCUGCACCAAUGCAUCCCUACUGCACCCCAUAGAGAUUGCAUCCCCAUGGUGCCAGCAUCCCUGCACCCAUUGCACACCCACUGCAUCCCCAUGGUAUCAGCACCCAUGCACCCAUUGCAUCCCUGUUGCAGCCCCGUUGCAUCCCCCUGGUGCCAGCAUAUCUGCACCCACUGCACCCCUACAGAACAGCCCCCCCCCUGCACCAAUGCAUCCCUGCAGCCACCCUGCACAGCUCUGCAUGGAUGCAGCACAGCCCCCCCCCCCCUUCCCAAGGGCUGCAUGCAGCAGAUCCUGCACCGUGUGUGGGGUGGGAGCUGCAUGUGUGUGUCUGUGUGUGUGUGUGUGUU